CGUAGGAGACGAGCGUUGUCCGGAAUUACUGGGCGUAAAGCGCGUGUAGGCGGAUGGGCAAGUCUGCUGUGAAAGCUCCUGGCUUAACCGGGAGUGGUCGGUGGAAACUGCCAAUCUGGAGGACGGUAGAGGUAGGUAGAAUUCCCGGUGUAGUGGUGAAAUGCGUAGAGAUCGGGAGGAAUACCUGUGGCGAAGGCGGCCUACUGGGCCGGACCUGACGCUGAGACGCGAAGGCGUGGGGAGCGAACGGGAUUAGAUACCCCGGUAGUCCACGCAGUAAACGAUGUGUACUAGGUGUGGCGGGUAUCAAGCCCCGCCGUGCCGGAGCCAACGCUGUAAGUACACCGCCUGGGGAGUACGGCCGCAAGGUUA
rnacentral:rRNA from 1 species